AUUUCUGUAGUUGAAUACAACAGUAGCUUUUCGAGCUGCAGGUCUAAGUUAAAGUCUUGGCAGGAAUAA
rnacentral:tRNA from 1 species